GACGAACGCUGGCGGCGUGCCUAAUACAUGCAAGUAGAACGCUGAAGAGAGGAGCUUGCUCUUCUUGGAUGAGUUGCGAACGGGUGAGUAACGCGUAGGUAACCUGCCUUGUAGCGGGGGAUAACUAUUGGAAACGAUAGCUAAUACCGCAUAACAAUGGAUGACACAUGUCAUUUAUUUGAAAGGGGCAAUUGCUCCACUACAAGAUGGACCUGCGUUGUAUUAGCUAGUAGGUGAGGUAAUGGCCCACCUAGGCGGCGAUACAUAGCCGACCUGAGAGGGUGGUCGGGCAAACUGGGAAUGGGGAAACGGUCAGGACCCUACGGGAGGGAGGAAGAGGGGAAUAUCGGACAUGGGGGCAAACCUGACUGAGCAACGCCGGGGGGGUGAAGGAGGGUUUCGGGUCGUUAAGCUCCGUUGUGAGGGAAGGACGGGUGUGAGGGUAGAAAGUUGACGCUGUGACGGUAGCUAAACAGAAAGGGACGGCUAACUACGUG
rnacentral:rRNA from 1 species